UACGUAGGGGGCAAGCGUUGUCCGGAUUUCUUGGGCGUAAAGCGCGCGCAGGUGGUUUCUUAAGUCUGAUGUGAAAGCCCACGGCUCAACCGUGGAGGGUCAUUGGAAACUGGGGAACUUGAGUGCAGAAGAGGAAAGUGGAAUUCCAAGUGUAGCGGUGAAAUGCGUAGAGAUUUGGAGGAACACCAGUGGCGAAGGCGACUUUCUGGUCUGUAACUGACACUGAGGCGCGAAAGCGUGGGGAGCGAACAGG
rnacentral:rRNA from 1 species